rnacentral:rRNA from 1 species
ACGUUAGCGGCGGACGGGUGAGUAACACGUGGGUAACCUACCUAUAAGACUGGGAUAACUUCGGGAAACCGGAGCUAAUACCGGAUAAUAUUUCGAACCGCAUGGUUCGAUAGUGAAAGAUGGUUUUGCUAUCACUUAUAGAUGGACCCGCGCCGUAUUAGCUAGUUGGUAAGGUAACGGCUUACCAAGGCGACGAUACGUAGCCGACCUGAGAGGGUGAUCGGCCACACUGGAACUGAGGCACGGUCCAGACUCCUACGGGAGGCAGCAGGC